CCUACGGGCGGCUGCAGUGAGGAAUAUUGGUCAAUGGGCGUAAGCCUGAACCAGCCAUCCCGCGUGAAGGAAGAAGGCGCUAUGCGUCGUAAACUUCUUUUCCAGAGGAAUAAAAUUUCGUACGUGUACGGAACUGAAGGUACUUUGGGAAUAAGCAUCGGCUAACUCCGUGCCAGCAGCCGCGGUAAUACGGAGGAUGCGGGCGUUAUCCGGAGUUAUUGGUGUUUAGGGGUAUGAAUAAGGAUGAAUUGAAAACCUUCAGCUUAACUGGAGAACUGCCAUUGAUACUGUUAGUCUUGAGUACGGUCAAGGUAGGCGGAAUGUGUAAUGUAGCGGUGAAAUGCUUAGAUAUUACACAGAACACCGAUUGCGAAGGCAGCUUACUGGGCCAUUACUGACGCUGAUGCACGAAAGCGUGGGGAGCGAACAGGAUUAGAUACCCUGGUAGUC
rnacentral:rRNA from 1 species